AGGUCAGCUCACUUUUUUCUGACCUCUGUAACAGCCAGGUGGUAAAUGUUUUAGUACAGUCUCCAUGACGUGUGCUCAGCUCUGCUGCUGUAGGGUGAAUGCAGCCUUAGACAUUACAUAAACGAAUGAGCCUGGCUGGUGCCAGAAACACUAGUUACAGAAACAGGCAGUGGGCCAUGUUCAGCUUACAAGCCAUUCAUUGUUGUGGGUGUUAGCGGUUAAAACAAGAAACCUCAACGAGGCCCCUAAGGUGGCUAAAAAUUUAGGUUAACUAGCUUACAAUCAAAGAUCACCAGAUAGAAAAUGAAGCAAGCCGCUGUGACUGAAACCACUAAAGAUUUCAGAAUUACCAGAAUACAAAAUCACAUUUAAAAUCAAAUUUUGUGUUCUCUUCCUUAUUUUCCAUCAGCUCUCACCUAAUAGACUGCAUGAUUUACCUACUUGGUUUGUUGUAUUUGUCCCACUAGGAUGUAGGCUUUCUGAGAGUAGAUGGAUUUUUUUUUUCCUUUUGUUUCAUUUCACUGGUAUAACUACAGUACUUGUAACUUGCACUUGGUGGGUGCUCAAUAAAUAUUUGUUAAAUGAAUGAACACUUAAAUAAAAGAUGCCGUCACAAAAAUAAGCAGUAAGAGACUCCCGAGAUGGUCGAAGAGGAACUGAAAAGUUGAAUUUUCUGAAAUGAAGAGUGUGAUUAUUGAGAUAAAUUCAGUGGUUAGACAGUAGAUUAGACACAACUUGGGCUUCCCUGGUGGCUCAGACGGUAAAGCGUCUGUCCGCAAUGUGGGAGACCCGGGUUCAGUCCCUGGGCCGGGAAGAUUCCCUGGAGAAGGAAAUGGCAACCCACUCCAGUACUCUUGCCUGGAAAAUCCCAUGGACUGAGGAGCCUAGUGGGCUACAGUCCAUGGGGUGGCAAAGAGUCAGACACGACUGAGCGACUUCACCUUCACAUUCUAGACACAACUUGAAUAGAGAUGAAUGAACUGAAAGCCUGGUUACUUAGAAUAUGGUAUACCUAGAGAAUCAAAAUGGGGAAUACAGAGUUAAAACUAUAGAGGAUAAAAUUAAAAGAUCUAAUGAUACUUUUAACUGGAGAUCCAGAAAAAAAAUGAAGGAUAAGUAAAAAUUUGAAAUGAUUCUUUUACUUGCUUCCAUGAUAUCUAAGUGCCACGUGGGCACGUAUCUUAGGAGAGCACUGUUGGUCCCGACAUCUUCCACACCAUCAUGUCUCCUGCUUCCACUGCAGUCAUAGCCACUAAUGUGUCAUCUGCUAAAGUUUCUACCAGCCCUAGAACUUCACCGCCAUCCGUAUCCAUGUCCGGAGAAAAGGCUUCCACAGUUAAUUUCAAGCUGGACGAGCGGCCAACUGCAGCCGUAUCCCUACUGUAGCUUUUUUGUGGUGAGGCAAGGUGCUCACUAGGACAGGUAGUCCAGUAAUGUGAAGAGCCACAAAUUCUCCCUUUAAUUCCACACCAUGGAGCUCAUUUUCUUGCUCGAUUACAACUACGCUUCCAAUAGCAAGGGAAGGUGCACAUUUGUCUCGCCUGGACCUCCAAUCCAGAAAGGAACAAGAAACCCUGUUCAGCGAUGGUGGUAAGCACUGACACGCUCCCUGCAGGCCAGCAUUUUGCUCAUUUCCCCAAGGGAGCCAAGGUCCUGACAUGCGUGGUAAGGGACACAUGAUUCUUGUCUAUGGAGAUCAGAACGAAGUCUUCCCCGAGCUUUGAAAAGAAAUGUGCAAUAAUCCAAGAGGGACAGCAUGCUAUUGAUUUUGUUUCUAGUCCUGAAGGCAGGGUCAGCUACAUAAUUUGCAGGGCCUAGUGCAAAAUGAAAAUGCAAGCCUCUUGUUUAAGCUGCAGAAAAAAAUGUAAGAUGCUGAAAUUCUAAGCUUUUCCUUUUCUUCUGUGUUUCCUUAACUUGUAUUUUUAAAAUUUUCAACGCCACUCCAAGUUAAACUUCCGUCAACACAAAUUUUAUCAUUCAUCUUCAUAGUAUAUAGCAACAGUUUUAAGUGCAAACAAAAACAUUUAACCCCUUUGUGGAAUCAUUGAAAUUACAUAAUUGGUAUUUUGUACCUCAUGCAUUCACGUGUAUUUACUAGUACAGUGGGAAUGUUGGGCAAAAGUAACUCAGUGUUUUAUUUCACUUCUUGGUACAACAUGUUCUACCAACACUCCCUGUGUUUGACGUACUGAUGUGUAAGGACAAACUGAAAGGAAAAUAAACUAUUGAUUGCCCUA